GAUGAAGAACGCAGCGAAAUGCGAUAAGUAAUGUGAAUUGCAGAAUUCAGUGAAUCAUCGAAUCUUUGAACGCACAUUGCGCCCGUCAGUAUUCUGGCGGGCAUGCCUGUUCGAGCGUCAUUACGCCCCUCAAGUCCCCCGUGGACUUGGUGUUGGGGAUCGGCGAGGCUGGUUUUCCAGCACAGCCGUCCCUUAAAUUAAUUGGCGGUCUCGCCGUGGCCCUCCUCUGCGCAGUAGUAAAACACUCGCAACAGGAGCCCGGCGCGGUCCACUGCCGUAAAACCCCCCAACUUUUUAUAGUUGACCUCGAAUCAGGUAGGACUACCCGCUGAACUUAAGCAUAUCAAUAAGCGGAGGA
rnacentral:misc_RNA from 1 species